UGGGGAAUUUUGGACAAUGGGCGCAAGCCUGAUCCAGCCAUGCCGCGUGCGGGAAGAAGGCCUUCGGGUUGUAAACCGCUUUUGUCAGGGAAGAAAUCUUCUGAGCUAAUGCCUCGGGAGGAUGACGGUACCUGAAGAAUAAGCACCGGCUAACUACGUGCCAGCAGCCGCGGUAAUACGUAGGGUGCAAGCGUUAAUCGGAAUUACUGGGCGUAAAGCGUGCGCAGGCGGUUUUGUAAGACAGAGGUGAAAUCCCCGGGCUCAACCUGGGAACUGCCUUUGUGACUGCAAGGCUUGAGUGCGGCAGAGGGGGAUGGAAUUCCGCGUGUAGCAGUGAAAUGCGUAGAUAUGCGGAGGAACACCGAUGGCGAAGGCAAUCCCCUGGGCCUGCACUGACGCUCAUGCACGAAAGCGUGGGGAGCAAAACAGGAUUAGAUACCCCUGGUAGUCCACGCCCUAAACGAUGUCAACUGGUUGUUGGGAAGGUUCCUUCUCAGUAACGUAGCUAACGCGUGAAGUUGACCGCCUGGGGAGUACGGCCGCAAGGUUGAAACUCAAAUGAAUUGACGGGGUCAUAGCUGUUU
rnacentral:rRNA from 1 species